rnacentral:rRNA from 1 species
CAGUAGCCGCGGGAAAACGGAGAGUGCAAGCGUUACUCGGAAUCACUGGGCGUAAAGGACGCGUAGGCGGAUUAUCAAGUCUCUUGUGAAAUCUAACGGCUUAACCGUUAAACUGCUUGGGAAACUGAUAAUCUAGAGUAGGGAGAGGCAGAUGGAAUUCUUGGUGUAGGGGUAAAAUCCGUAGAUAUCAAGAAGAACACCUAUUGCGAAGGCGAUCUGCUGGAACUUAACUGACGCUAAUGCGUAAAAGCGUGGGGAGCAAACAGGAUUAGAGACCCGCGUAGUCCCUGUCUCUUAUACA